AGAACUACAGAAGCCAAAAGACUUUCCCAGAACUGUGGACUUUGAUGGACUGGGCCUUUGUCUCCAUUUUGGCAGGUGGUACUGCCUAUGUGCUGAGUUUUACAACGUGAAUGAUACUUCACUCAUGGAGUCGGCUGUGCUAAGGUCUGGGGGAGGGGCCAUACUUUACCUCACUUUCUUAUCUUCCACAGCAACCUUAAAAACUUGAUGGCAGCAGCAAGCAGUAGUUGUGUAAUUUGUUUUGGUUUUGAUUUUUAAGAUCUCUCUAUGUAGCUGUGUAUAGAUCAGGCUGGCCUGGAACACCUGCCUUGCCUCCCAAGUGUUAGGGCUAAAGGCAUGCAUCAAACCAGCCACACUGAUUCUUAAGUACUUUAUACAUACCUUUGGAUUUAUCCCCAGAGUGAUACUGGAAGUGAGAACUCUGGUUUAACCGUGUUCUCAGGUCCUACAAGAGAAACCAUGCUCAGAAGGUGAGAUUACUACCCAAGCACUCCAAGCACUCCAAGCACUCCGCGUGUAAUCACAGAGAUGGCACCGAAGUCAGAGUCCUGAGUCUUAACAUCACUGGAUAAUUAUUAUUGAUGUGUUGGGCAUCGUACACAGGACCUGGGUGCUCUGGGAGAGGCUCGGUAUACAAGAGCAGGUAAACAAGUAAGUAGAGAUUGCCAGGCUGACUGAGAAGACUGUCCUCGCCCUCAAGAAACAACGAGCAUCUAGCUCCCUUGACGACAGCUGUGACAGAAUGUUGGCUCAUUGUUCCAAGAAGUCCGAGGUGGAGUUCAGUGGAAGAUUGCUUGUCGACACAUGUUGAUGCCCAGAACUCCCUCAAAAUGGCUGAAAACUCAGACUUGAAGUAGAAACUUCUAGUUCUUUGGAAAGUUAUGUCAAAUGAUGUUUUCCUGAAGCACACACAGGUGAAAGAAUGUUUUGAUAUAGCGAACACAUAAAAGGACACUUAAUGAAGGAGUAUAAAUAUGACCCCACAGACAGUGGGUGACAAGCACUGAGCCUUGGUUUGGUUUGCUCUGCCUCGCUAUUCUUCUUUAAAGACAUGCACAUAUUGGUUCCCCCUUACAUAGUGUUAUUGAGCUCAACUCGUGAGAGAAACUCUCCCAAGAACUGCUCGUAAGGUUCCUGCAGCAGCUUGCAACUUCAGCGGCCUCACCUUAGGCCUGUUGGUGAGCCUGGCAGUUUCUUCAGGAUCAAACGACUGCUGCCUGGUGUCUGCUUGCUGGAAGGACUGAACUGAAGCUGCUGGUUUGUGCCUGGUGUCUGCCUGCCUAGAGGACUGGUCUGCAACUGCUCGGUCGCAUUUGGUGUUUGCUAUGAGACUGAAGUGUGCCCAAGAAGAUGGAGCUUGCCUCCAAAGAGCUACUGCUGAGCAGAACCCCUUCCCCACAUCCUAAUAACUUUCUCUUCCACAACCUCUGCGGGGUGGUGGGCUAGGAGAGGUGGAACCCUUAUUAAAAGUAGGUUACAAAAAAUUUAUGUCUACACAGAGUAUU
rnacentral:lncRNA from 1 species